rnacentral:tRNA from 1 species
GGAGAAGUACUCAAGUUGGUCAAGAGGACGCACUGCUAACGCGUUAGGGGCUUGAAAGGCUCGCGUGGGUUCAAGUCCCACCUUCUCCGCCA